AGCCAGACAGUUAGCUGUGCUGUGAGGGGUUAGAAUAUUGCUCCCUUAGAAGCUAGGAGCUAGGUUACCGGGUCUGCAGACCAUUACGAGGACAAAGUGGGGAAACUGCCUCCCGGGACCAGCGCUGCCAAGUUCUCCUGGGUGUCCCGGCGUCCGCACUCUCCCGUGACCUCAGCGUCCCGAGAGCAGUGUUUCGCUCUGGCCUGCAAGGUGCCGUUCAGUCUUGAGCCAACCUCUAAAAUCGUGUCGCCCUCAGCGGAGAGCCUGGCGCCCGCCGCACACAGACAGGGCCUCAUAUUCUAGCCCUAGCUGGCCUGAAUUCACUGAGUAGAUGAGGCUGGCUUUGAACUCACAGAUCCACAUGCCUCUGUCAUUUGAUUGCUGGAAGGUAGGGAGAAAAACAACAAAAGAGACCAAACCAAACCAAAAUAAACAAGUUCUCACAAUGGACACAACCCUGUACAUUUGGAUAAAGCUGAUGCUACGGGAUGCAAUG